GAAGGUAUAGCUCAGUGGUGGAGCACAUGCCUAGCAUGCAGGAGAUCCUGGGUUCAGUCCCCAGUACCUUCA
rnacentral:tRNA from 1 species